rnacentral:tRNA from 1 species
GGAGAGGUGGCCGAGUGGCUGAAGGCAACGGUUUGCUAAACCGUCGUAGGGGUGAACGCCUCUACCGCGGGUUCGAAUCCCGCCCUCUCCG